rnacentral:rRNA from 1 species
CCUACGGGUGGCAGCAGUGAGGAAUAUUGGUCAAUGGCCGGAAGGCUGAACCAGCCAAGCCGCGUGAGGGAGGAAGGCGCAGAGCGUCGCAGACCUCUUUUGCCGGGGGACAAAAGGCCGGACUCGUCCGGUCCUGAGGGUACCCGGAGAAAAAGCAUCGGCUAACUCCGUGCCAGCAGCCGCGGUAAUACGUAGGGAGCGAGCGUUAUCCGGAAUUAUUGGGCGGUAAGGGUGCGUAGAUGGCAUAGUAAGUCUUUUGUAAAAAUGCUGGGCUCAACCCAGUAGGGCAAAAGAUACUGCAAAGCUAGAGUAUGACAGAGGCAAGUGGAACUACAUGUGUAGCGGUAAAAUGCGUAAAUAUAUGUAAGAACACCAGUGGCGAAGGCGGCUUGCUGGGUCGAUACUGACAUUGAGGCACGAAAGCGUGGGGAGCAAACAGGAUUAGAUACCCGAGUAGUC